GACGAACGCUGGCGGCGCGCCUAACACAUGCAAGUCGAACGGUGAAGAGGAGCUUGCUCCUCGGAACAGUGGCGGACGGGUGAGUAACACGUGAGCAACCUGGCUCUAAGAGGGGGACAACAGUUGGAAACGACUGCUAAUACCGCAUGACGUAUCGGGAUGGCAUCUUCCUGAUACCAAAGAUUUUAUCGCUUAGAGAUGGGCUCGCGUCUGAUUAGAUAGUUGGCGGGGUAACGGCCCACCAAGUCGACGAUCAGUAGCCGGACUGAGAGGUUGAACGGCCACAUUGGGACUGAGACACGGCCCAGACUCCUACGGGAGGCAGCAGUGGGGGAUAUUGGACAAUGGGGGCAACCCUGAUCCAGCGACGCCGCGUGAGGGAAGAAGGUUUUCGGAUUGUAAACCUCUGCUGAAGGAGAAAAAAAUGAUGGUAUCCGUUUAGAAAGCCACGGCUAACUACGUG
rnacentral:rRNA from 1 species